CUACGGGCUGCUGCAGUGAGGAAUAUUGCACAAUGGGGGGAACCCUGAUGCAGCAACGCCGCGUGGAGGAUGACGCAUUUCGGUGUGUAAACUCCUUUUAUAUGUCAAGAAAAUGACGGUAGCAUAUGAAUAAGCACCGGCUAACUCCGUGCCAGCAGCCGCGGUAAUACGGAGGGUGCAAGCGUUACUCGGAAUCACUGGGCGUAAAGGACGCGUAGGCGGGUUGGAAAGUCAGGUGCGAAAUCCUACAGCUUAACUGUAGAACUGCACUUGAAACUUCUAAUCCAGAGUAUGGGAGGGGGAGAUGGAAUUAGUGGUGUAGGGGUAAAAUCCGUAGAUAUCACUAGGAAUACCUAAAGCGAAGGCGAUCUCCUGGAACAUUACUGACGCUAAGGCGUGAAAGCGUGGGGAGCAAACAGGAUUAGAUACCCUUGUAGUC
rnacentral:rRNA from 1 species